GACGAACGCUGGCGGCGUGCUUAACACAUGCAAGUCGAGCGGUAAGGCCUCUUCGGGGGUACACGAGCGGCGAACGGGUGAGUAACACGUGGGUGACCUACCCUCAGCUCUGGGAUAAGCCUGGGAAACUGGGUCUAAUACCGGAUAUGACUACAUGUCGCAUGGUGUGUGGUGGAAAGUUUGUCCUUUAUUGGGCACUUCGGUUGGGGAUGGGCCCGCGGCCUAUCAGCUUGUUGGUGGGGGAUGGCCUACCAAGGCGACGACGGGUAGCCGGCCUGAGAGGCGACCGGCCUUACACUGGGACUGAGAUACGGCCCA
rnacentral:rRNA from 1 species